rnacentral:rRNA from 1 species
GACGAACGCUGGCGGCGUGCUUAACACAUGCAAGUCGAACGGAAAGGCCUCUUUCGGGGGGUACUCGAGUGGCGAACGGGUGAGUAACACGUGAGUAACCUGCCCUUGACUUUGGGAUAACUUCAGGAAACUGGGGCUAAUACCGGAUAGGAGCUCCUGCUGCAUGGUGGGGGGUGGAAAGUUUCGGCGGUUGGGGAUGGACUCGCGGCUUAUCAGCUUGUUGGUGGGGGAGUGGCUUACCAAGGCGUUGACGGGUAGCCGGCCUGAGAGGGUGACCGGCCACAUUGGGACUGAGAUACGGCCCAGACUCCUACGGGAGGCAGCAGUGGGGAAUAUUGCACAAUGGGUGGGAGCCUGAUGCAGCAACGCCGUGGGCGGGAUGACGGCCUUCGGGUUGUAAACCGCUUUCGCUCAUGACGAAGCUUUGUGUGACGGUAGUGGGUAAAGAAGCACCGGCUAACUACGUG